UGUUCAGAGACUUUUCAUCUGAUCUGCAAACUGUGAUGAAACAUUCUACAGAGUUAAUUUGAUACAGAAGUAUCAAACUAACUCUGUAGAAUGUUCCAUCACAGUUUGCAGAUCAGAUGAAAAGUCUCUUUUCA